GGUGGCUUGAAGGCUGCAGCAGUCGAUCAUCGUAUGCUGUUGCGGUUUACCCAGGCUGCU
rfam:Pseudomonas floridensis strain GEV388 GEV-388_contig_65, whole genome shotgun sequence.